UACGAAGGGGGCGAGCGUUGUUCGGAUUACUGGGCGUAAAGGGCGCGUAGGCGGCCAUUCAGGUCAGGCUGUGAAAACUCGAGGCUCAACCUCGAGACGUCGGUUGAAACCGUUUGGCUAGAGUCCGGAAGGAGGAGAGUGGAAUUCCCGGUGUAGCGGUAGAAAUGCGCAGAUAUCAGGAAGAACACCCGUGGCGAAGGCGGCUCUCUGGGACGGUACUGGACGCUGAGACGCGAAAGCGUGGGGAGCGAACAGG
rnacentral:rRNA from 1 species